rnacentral:rRNA from 1 species
GUCUGCAGGUACCGCGCGAAUAAGGACCGGCUAAUUCCGUGCCAGCAGCCGCGGUAAUACGGAAGGUCCGGGCGUUAUCCGGAUUUAUUGGGUUUAAAGGGAGCGUAGGCCGUGAGGUAAGCGUGUUGUGAAAUGUAGGCGCCCAACGUCUGCACUGCAGCGCGAACUGCCCCACUUGAGUGCGCGCAACGCCGGCGGAACUCGUCGUGUAGCGGUGAAAUGCUUAGAUAUGACGAAGAACCCCGAUUGCGAAGGCAGCUGGCGGGAGCGUAACUGACGCUGAAGCUCGAAAGCGCGGGUAUCGAACAGGAUUAGAUACCCUGGUAGUCCGCGCGGUAAACGAUGGAUGCCCGCUGUGGCGCGCCUGGCGUGCCGCGGCUAAGCGAAAGCAUUAAGCAUCCCACCUGGGGAGUACGCCGGCAACGGUGAAACUCAAAGGAAUUGACGGGGGCCCGCACAAGCGGAGGAACAUGUGGUUUAAUUCGAUGAUACGCGAGGAACCUUACCCGGGCUUGAACUGCAGGAGAACGAUUCAGAGAUGAUGAGGUCCUUCGGGACUCCUGUGGAGGUGCUGCAUGGUUGUCGUCAGCUCGUGCCGUGAGGUGUCGGCUUAAGUGCCAUAACGAGCGCAACCCCUCUCCGUAGUUGCCAUCGGGUAAUGCCGGGCACUCUGCGGACACUGCCACCGUAAGGUGUGAGGAAGGUGGGGAUGACGUCAAAUCAGCACGGCCCUUACGUCCGGGGCCACACACGUGUUACAAUGGCCGUCACAGAGGGGAGCCGGGCGACCGGCUCAUGAUCCUUAAAAACGGUCUCAGUUCGGACUGGGGUCUGCAACCCGACCCCACGA